rnacentral:rRNA from 1 species
GAUGAGCCCGCGUUGGAUUAGCUAGUUGGUGGGGUAAAGGCCUACCAAGGCGACGAUCCAUAGCUGGUCUGAGAGGAUGAUCAGCCACAUUGGGACUGAGACACGGCCCAAACUCCUACGGGAGGCAGCAGUGGGGAAUAUUGGACAAUGGGCGCAAGCCUGAUCCAGCCAUGCCGCGUGAGUGAUGAAGGUCUUAGGAUUGUAAAGCUCUUUCACCGGGGACGAUAAUGACGGUACCCGGAGAAGAAGCCCCGGCUAACUUCGUGCCAGCAGCCGCGGUAAUACGGAGGGGGCUAGCGUUGUUCGGAAUUACUGGGCGUAAAGCGCACGUAGGCGGAUAUUUAAGUCGGGGGUGGAAGCCUGUGGCUCAACCACAGAAUUGCCUUCGAUACUGGGAGACUUGAGUUCGGAAGAGGUUGGUGGAACUGCGAGUGUAGAGGUGAAAUUCGUAGAUAUUCGCAAGAACACCGGUGGCGAAGGCGGCCAACUGGUCCGACACUGACGCUGAGGCGCGAAAGCGUGGGGAGCAAACAGGAUUAGAUACCCUGGUAGUCCACGCC